rnacentral:rRNA from 1 species
UGCAAGUCGAGCGGAUGAAGGGAGCUUGCUCCUGGAUUCAGCGGCGGACGGGUGAGUAAUGCCUAGGAAUCUGCCUGGUAGUGGGGGAUAACGUCCGGAAACGGGCGCUAAUACCGCAUACGUCCUGAGGGAGAAAGUGGGGGAUCUUCGGACCUCACGCUAUCAGAUGAGCCUAGGUCGGAUUAGCUAGUUGGUGGGGUAAAGGCCUACCAAGGCGACGAUCCGUAACUGGUCUGAGAGGAUGAUCAGUCACACUGGAACUGAGACACGGUCCAGACUCCUACGGGAGGCAGCAGUGGGGAAUAUUGGACAAUGGGCGAAAGCCUGAUCCAGCCAUGCCGCGUGUGUGAAGAAGGUCUUCGGAUUGUAAAGCACUUUAAGUUGGGAGGAAGGGCAGUAAGUUAAUACCUUGCUGUUUGACGUACCAACAGAAUAAGCACCG